AAUUGGCUUGACAUGUUCGGCAAAACUCGGGAAACCGAGCGGAGGUUAUCCGGACACAGGUGCUGCAUGGCCGUCGUCAGUUCGUGCCGUGAGGUGUAUGGUUAAGUCCUAUAACGAACGUAACCCUUAGGUUUAGUUGCCAGCAUUCAGUUGGGGACUCUAGACCGACUGCCCGAGUAAUCGGGAGGAAGGAAAGGAUGACGUCUGGUCGUCAUGGCCCUUAUGCCCUUUGGGGUCGGACACCAACCGUGGCUA
rnacentral:rRNA from 1 species